AAAAAUAAAUAAAAAAAAAUUGUUGAUAAAACUUAGAAAAAAAUAAAUUACUUUUCAAAAUAAUUAGUGCACAUAUCAAAUUUUGAACGUAUUUCCUUUAUAUCGCGUCGCUGAAUAUUCUGACGAGGACGAAGAAGGAGAAUUCAGUUCAGGUGAAUUUAACGACGAGACCAAUGAACUUGGUUUACCGGGUUACGAACAGAAACGUGAUUAUAAUCCGGCUAAGCAUGAUAUGCGAAAAUAUCGUAAACUGCAACGCUCUGAAGUAGAAGAAGUUAAUUUAGGCACAAAUCCAGUUGAUAGUGAUAGUGAAUUCGAAAUGAAGGAUAAAAACUCAUCACGUGCAAAAAUAAGCAGGAAUGAAUAUAUACGAAAAGUCGAAAGAAUUUGCAGAAUUAGAUUCAUGAUGGGAAGGAAAACUCUUCAA